GGAACUACUCCAUUCUUCAUAGUCCUCGGACCCAUAAAAAAGGAGGAAGAAAAGACCGCCGGCCGGCGGUGCGGCAGUGUGGAGACCUGUCGUAAGCCCCGGGAGGGACAGUCCGUCCGGGGGAGGGGCCUGCUGCGGAGGCAGAGGUCUCACGGCCAGAAGCCAUGUC
rnacentral:ncRNA from 1 species